GAUGAACGCUGGCGGCGUGCCUAAUACAUGCAAGUCGAGCGAACGGACGAGAAGCUUGCUUCUCUGACGCUAGCGGCGGACGGGUGAGUAACACGUGGAUAACCUACCUAUAAGACUGGGAUACUUCGGGAAACCCGAGCUAAUACCGGAUAAUAUUUUGAACCGCAUGGUUUCAACGUGAAAGACGGUCUUGCUUUCACCUAUUUAUGGUUCCGUGCUGCAUUAGCUAGUUGGUAAGGUAACGGCUUACCAAGGCAACGAUGCGUAGCCGACCUGAGAGGGUGAUCGGCCACACUGGAACUGAGACACGGUCCAGACUCCUACGGGAGGCAGCAGUAGGGAAUCUUCCGCAAUGGGCGAAAGCCUGACGGAGCAACGCCGCGUGAGUGAUGAAGGUCUUCGGAUCGUAAAACUCUGUUAUUAGGGAAGAACAGAUGUGUAAGUAACUGUGCACGUCUUGACGGUACCUAAUCAGAAAGCCACGGCUAACUACGUG
rnacentral:rRNA from 1 species